rnacentral:lncRNA from 1 species
GGGGCUGGCACGGCGCUGGGGGCUGCUGAGCUGGAAGUUACGGACAGCACUGGAACAUCGUGCCCCGAUACAAAAACUGGGGACCCCCGGGGAUGUGUCCCUGCCUGGGGAGGAGCCGCUGUUCUCCUGGCAGCGAGGGGCCCGUGAAUCACAGCCUCUUCCCAGAGGAUGAGAGGGCUUCGCUCGCCAGAAGGGAGCGGGUUAAUCACCCCCAGGAGGAAAAGCGCAGAGCGGUGGGAAUUGUGGUGCCCCGCUGCCGCCGAGCACCUGCAGAGACUAAAAGAUGCAGGUCCCAGAGAAAUCCAAAUCCGGGGCUGACUCUGUUGAUGCCACCACUACAGUUUGUUAAGGAGCCGCCCGGUGCUGCUCGUCCCUGAGAUUUGGGUGUGAUGCACACGAGCUGCAGGGGGAAUUAUUCAUCCCAAAUAAUCGCUCCUGACCAAAUGAGCUCCCGAAAAAAGGUGGCUGAAAAUCCACUGGACCGUAUGAGCCAGGAGCUGCUGCUGAGCAGUUCCUUAAGAGGAGCAGAUCCGAGCUCUGAAUGGCAAAAGGGAAAUCUGGCCAAAAAAAAGGGAAAUUCAGGGUUAUCCAAAAACCCACAGCAAAACCAGCUGCUGGGCAGGGCUGAACUUGGCCGUCAGAAUGGCUCAGACUGAGUUCUUGGGUUCAGCACAGCUUUAACCCCUCAGCUUCUCCGAGGGCUUGGAGCACUGCCCAGGUGAGAUCCAGGGAUCCCUCAAGGCUCCUCCUGCCAGCAACCACUAUAACAUGGAAUUCUGAGGAGAUAAACUGACCUUGGGUCAGAGCUGACCUCUCUCCUGGCAGCUGAAGUGAUUUGUGCAGGGCAGGGACUGCUGGCCCCGCUCUGGGUGAGCCAAGGCUGCACCUUGCUGAACUGCCAGCAGCAGAACCAUUGAUUUUUUUAAUUUAUUUUUUUUCCUAUUCUAAUAAAUGAGUGGGAAAUUUCCA